GGCCGUGUGGGCUGCACAACAUGCGAGAGGAAGUGUUUCUGUGGUCAGCUUCUGUGCUUCACUGCUGAAAGUAAGUUUAGAGAUGUGACAAAAGGCAAAAAGCCUAGAAGACAGAGAGCUGUACAAAGUUGAGAACAUUCAGCUUCAUGAUGAAACCUCAACUGCUCUUCACACUGAUGUAUUUCUUUCUGGUGUUGGAAGCAAACGAUCUUUCUCCGGCCAAACUGACGGUGGAUGUAGCCGUGAUCACAGAAACCGAUUCGGUGACAUUAAAGUGUCAGAUUCCAUCUUCAGCUUCUGGAUGCACUUUCUUCACUCCAAGUGAAACGUUCUUUGUGGGCAGCUGUCUG